AACGUUUCGAUCUUUAUUGAGAUCAUCUUCAGGGCUCAAAGUGCAGACAAACACUUUGAGCCCUAAAGAUGAUGUCAAUAAAGAUCGAAUCU
rnacentral:misc_RNA from 13 species